CACGUUACGACGCCGUCUGAGACCUUCAUGACGAGGUCAAUUGCAUGCAUCCUUUUUUUUCUUACUUAUGUAGCACCAUUGAAUUCGUCAUCGUUGAAGAUGGCACCGGGGUAUUUGGGGUUAUCAGAAUUGUAGCUUGGAGCAAAGUUUGUUUUGCGAGGGAAGCACAAGACCAAAAAGUUCUAUCCAUCAUUUUAACUACUGAGGACAAUCAGAUUUUGAAUCAAAAAUUGUGUUCAAACUGGUGAUAUACGUGAUGUGGCCAACAGAUUUUUAAGGAAAAGUCUAUUGCGACCAAUUUUUAAUUGUACUUGUAAGGUUGAGGUACCCAACUGAUGCUGUUUUGUCCUAUUCUGGUGCCAGUUGUUAUUUUUGUGUCCAAGCCAUUUUGAAGCCUUAGCAAUGUUGAUGGAAACAUAAAGUCGUUGUCAGUUUGCAUCAGUAAUAUGAGUACCUGGUACUCAACUCGAACAUCAACCCUUGUCUACUAUAUUGCCUCAAACCGAUGUAGGGAAUUCACAUUGAGUUUUUGUUAGCAUGUCUUAUCAAGUCGACAACAUUCACUCUUCUUUUAUCACUGAUGCAUGCUUGUUGGGGGAAAAUAUUUUCAUCUCUCAAGAUUCUCAGAUGUUGGAUUUCAAGAUCCUUUAUUAUGAUGUCAUGUCAUCAUUCUAAAGAUGGCUGCAACCGUUGAUAAUCUGCUUCUGGAUUUUUAAAUCAAGGUUAAGAGACAUGUCAUGUCUGAAGAAUGAAAAUGUGAGGAUAACAGGAAGAACCAGUAGUGAGGCAAGAUAGAAACAUUUUGUCAACAAGAUUGUCAUAGGCUCUGUUGUCGGAGACCGUUUGUCCGCAAAGGAAUGGUGAACGGGGCUGAAAUCAUUCAAAUGACGCAUAAGACUUCCCAUUUCGCUGUUUUGGCAUUGAUGAACGUCAUUAUCGUUUCGAGUUUGUUAAAGGCCGCCAUAUUGUCAAGACAUCUAGCGGAGGAAUUUCUCACUACUGAGUAAUUGCGUUGAAUUGUCAGCUACCUACGUAGCAAGGUACCCGAAGGGUUAAUUUUUGUUUUUGUUUCAUUUUUAUUUCAUGAUAGUGUUUCAUCUUAACUAAGUUAAAAAAAAAAAAAAAAGAUAAUGUAACCUACCUAUAGUGUUUUGCCAGCCCAACUUGCACAUAGUGGCAAACCAAACAAUUUCGGCGUGUAACAGAUGUUUUAUUGUUUUGUAAUAUUUUGUAACCGCAAGAGGAAAGCUGUUUUGUAACAGCAGGAGGGAUGCUGCGGACUGUGUCGUAAUUUGGCAUUCAAGUAAUGGGUCGUCUGCAACCAUAGUUGAUUGAACGUGAAUGAAACUCAUUGAACUGUAAAGGAAAUGUUUCUAAGGGUUCCAGUCACGGCCAGUGACGCACUUGAAGCUAAAAAGAAGAAUUGUUGUGUGUGUUAGAAGAAAAAGCACGCAAUAGACUUUACAUUGACUUUACUGAUGCACUGUUCAUUAGAAAAAGAAGAAUUUCAGGCAAUUAAGCUAAAGCCUGGAGCUUCCCUAUCUUGCCCGUUCAAUCGUUUUGACGCACUCCCUACCUCCUUUUUUCCAACUUGGAAUGGACUUCAGCGCGUUCUACUGGUGUCGAAGAACAACAUUUUUCAAAAUAUAAACAUGCCGUUUUUACAAAUACU
rnacentral:lncRNA from 1 species